AUUUUAUUUACUUAAUUUGUUUCAUUAUGAAUCAUCAUAUAAUAUAUCACUUGAAGCAUUAUUUUCUAUGGUUUGAAAAUGAAAAGACUGAAUAUUUCAGAAGUACAGUCUCUCAGAAUCACUCCUUUCAUGUAGUUAGUACCUAGGGUAUAUUAGGUUGGUGUUUUAAGUCAAUAAAUUUAAAAAAUGUUUUGCUUUCCCCCAAAGCCUUCCAUAAAUAAGACAUAAAUAAGAUAGUGCCCUUUUAUUUCUGAGGUAUAAAAUUAAAAAUAUACAUAUAUAUAUAUAUAUGUGUCAUUAAUCUGGAGCUGGAGGUAAACAUGUUCUUUUCCUUUCACAUUAAAGAUCAUUAAAUUAUUAUUCUUCUCUAUUGCUACAUGUCAACAUGUACUUUGCAAUACCAGCUGUUAAAGGGUACCCUGAUUUCCCAAGAAAUACGAGAAAAAUGUAAUAUUUCAAAAACAAACUCAUAUAUCCCAAGAACAAGAUUUUUAGUGGCGUUAUAGGUGUUGUACUGCUUAAGGUAGCACAAUACAAAGAUUUUUCAUCCCAAAUCAGACAUCUUUAAACUGAUGUAAUUCCACCCAUCUUUCUUUAAAUUUUAUAAAUGAGGUACCAA
rnacentral:lncRNA from 1 species